rnacentral:rRNA from 1 species
UACGUAGGGGGCGAGCGUUGUCCGGAAUUAUUGGGCGUAAAGAGCGUGUAGGCGGUCCGGUAAGUCAGCUGUGAAAGUCAAGGGCUCAACCCUUGAAAGCCGGUUGAUACUGUCGGGCUAGAGUCCGGAAGAGGCGAGUGGAAUUCCCGGUGUAGCGGUGAAAUGCGCAGAUAUCGGGAGGAACACCAAUGGCGAAGGCAGCUCGCUGGGACGGUACUGACGCUGAGACGCGAAAGCGUGGGGAGCAAACAGG